CCUACGGGCGGCUGCAGUGGGGAAUAUUGGACAAUGGGCGAAAGCCUGAUCCAGCCAUGCCGCGUGUGUGAAGAAGGCCUUCGGGUUGUGAAGCACUUUCAGUGGGGAAGAAAGCCUUGGGGCUAAUACCCUCGAGGAAGGACAUCACCCACAGAAGAAGCACCGGCUAACUCCGUGCCAGCAGCCGCGGUAAUACGGAGGGUGCGAGCGUUAAUCGGAAUUACUGGGCGUAAAGCGCGCGUAGGCGGUCUGAUAAGCCGGUUGUGAAAGCCCCGGGCUCAACCUGGGAACGGCAUCCGGAACUGUCAGGCUAGAGUGCAGGAGAGGAAGGUAGAAUUCCCGGUGUAGCGGUGAAAUGCGUAGAGAUCGGGAGGAAUACCAGUGGCGAAGGCGGCCUUCUGGACUGACACUGACGCUGAGGUGCGAAAGCGUGGGUAGCAAACAGGAUUAGAUACCCUGGUAGUC
rnacentral:rRNA from 1 species